rnacentral:rRNA from 1 species
UGGGGAAUAUUGGGCAAUGGGCGCAAGCCUGACCCAGCAACGCCGCGUGAAGGAAGAAGGCUUUCGGGUUGUAAACUUCUUUUAAGAGGGAAGAGAAGAAGACGGUACCUCUUGAAUAAGCCACGGCUAACUACGUGCCAGCAGCC